rnacentral:rRNA from 1 species
GUGGGGAAUAUUCCGCAAUGGACGAAAGUCUGACGGAGCAACGCCGCGUGAGUGAUGAAGGUUUUCGGACUGUAAAGCUCUGUUGUUUAGGACGAAAGUGCCUGUUGCGAAUAGUUACAGGUAUUGACGGUACUGAACGAGGAAGCCACGGCUAACUACGUGCCAGCAGCCGCGGUAAUACGUAGGUGGCAAGCGUUGUCCGGAAUUAUUGGGCGUAAAGAGCAUGUAGGCGGGAAUCUAAGUCUGUUGUGAAAAUGCGGGGCUCAACCCCGUAUUGCGAUGGAAACUGGGUUUCUUGAGUGCAGGGGAGGAAAGGGGAAUUCCCAGUGUAGCGGUGAAAUGCGUAGAUAUUGGGAGGAACACCAGUGGCGAAGGCGCCUUUCUGGACUGUGUCUGACGCUGAGAUGCGAAAGCCAGGGUAGCGAACGGGAUUAGAAACCCCAUAGUCC